rnacentral:sRNA from 1 species
UUUUGACCUCCUUGUCCUUACUAAGGCUGCAGGACAUAGAGCAACAACUCCCCCAUGGGGAGCAUGACCAAGUCAAGGGGACCCACUGACUCAUCCACUUUCUUCCAGAUAAACCGAGACUACACCUUCCUAGACUACAUCCUGGGAGGCUGCCAGCUCAUGUUCACCGUAAGGCUUUCCCUCCUGGCUCCCUCUGCACCCGCAUCCCAGUGAGGGUCCUCCCUGAAGACUUGGGCCACUGGUGCAGCCAGAGGGACUUAGGGUAGACUUCAGGAAGGACUUGGGGCAAGGAGUGUGUCCAGCCUAGUGAGGAGGGCAUAAGUGGGCUGCCUGGUCCUGCUGGAUGUGCCUGAGUUGGGGCUUAACUACAGGUCAGAGCACAGCUGCACAGCUCUCAGUCUGGUGGCUACACUCCUGCGGGUGGAAGAAAACAAAUUCCUCCUCACUGGCCACAAGGCCUUCAGUGUUCCCUGCCUCCUUCAUCUGCAGUCUCCUUCCUCCUUGCUCACUGGGCUCUAACCACACUGUUCCUCUGUUUGCCCAACACGCCAAGCUCUGCUUCAUCUUAGAACUUUGCAUUUGCUCUUCCUUCUGCAUUUGUUGUUCCCUCUGCUUGAAACACUUCCCCAGAACCUUUGCAUGGCUGCCUACCUGCCAUUUUUCAGGCCUGAGGAGGUAACGGAGGUCACCUUCCAGGGAACCCUCCCUCCUUCAAUGCCUUGCUGCUCCUCUGUCAUAUCUUCCUAUUUUAUUUCUUUUCUUUUUCUUUUUUUUUUUUUUUUUUGAGACAGCGUCUCAUUCUGUCACUUGGUCUAGAAUGUAGUGGCGCGAUCUCAGAUCACUGCAGCCUCCACCUUCAGCUCUCAGUUGAUCCUCCCACCUCAGCUUCCUGAGUAGCUGGGAUUACAGGUGCAUACCAUCAUGCCCAGCUAAUUUUUGCAUUUUUUGUAGAGAUGGGGUUUUGCUAUGUUGCCCAGGCUGGUCUCAAACUCCUGGGCUCAAGCAAUCUGCCCACCUUGGCCUCUCAAAGUGCUAGGAUUACAGGCAUGAGCCACUGGGCCUGGCCCUUACUAUUUUCCUAUUUUCUGGGCACUUGCCGCCCCGAGAUUCAUAUGCAUUUGUCGCUUCUCCCUGAUUGUCACACCCACUGGAAUGUGAGUGCUUUAAGUGUGGGCAAUUUCUUUAUUUUUCUUCCACUCCAACCCCAGCAUAUCACACAGUACCUGGCACGUAGCAGGUGCUCCAUCAUUUCUCGUUGGAAGAAUGAACUGCCACCUUGCCUGUGGCCUGGAGUCUUUGCCCCACAGACUCUGUUCCAUUCAUCCUGGCUUUGCUUCCUCACCCUAAGGGAGCCUCAGGCCCAGAAGGGAGGAAGCUGCUGGGGUGCCACGCUCUGCCCACCUCCCCAUGUUGUCUCACCAUUCCCCAUCACCACCCCUAGAUCCUAAUGGGAAAUGGAGGGCAUCGCAGGAUUCCAUGGAGUCCGAGGAUUGGCCUUGCUGACCUCUGACCCUGCUGCCCACCACUGCCCCCUCCCCUGCAGAGAGGCCAGGCCCUCCUGUUCCUCCUGCAUGGGUUUGUUCAUUCAGCGAACUCACACUGACUGCCUCCUUUGUGCCAGGCUCUAGGCUAUGUCCCUGCAGGGGUCCCUCAAGGACUAAGACAUGCUGCCCCUGACCUGAGGGAGUGACCCUCUAGCCAUAUGAGGAUUUGGAUGGGUGACCCCUUCUCUCCUACCCCACAGCAACUGAGUUCCCAUGUAGCCAAAUCUUCCCUGGGGUCCUUCUUCUAACCCUCCCCUGCUGGGCAGGGGUUGUUCUUGCCUACCCAUCUGUGCCCUUUCCCCAGGGAUUGGGCUGGGAUUCUCUGGGGCUGAGAGAGCAGGUAGAGUCCCAGUCCCUGCCUGCCCAUCAGCCCCGAGUCCCUGUUAAGCACCUGCCUUGUCUGCUGUUCCCAGCCCUGGGCCAGGCUCCUCCAGAGUACGUGCUGUGGUGAGCUCCCAGCUGAUCGGGGAGACGGGCACUGCUCUACCAGGCAACCCCAGGUCCCAGGCCCCUUGGUGGUCUGAGGGAUAAUGGGGAGAUGGCUUGGGUUGGGGGUGAGGUUAUCUGAGAAGGUUGCAGUGGAGCAGUGGCAUCUGAGUUGGGCAUGGAAGAUGGAGCAAAGUUAGACGGGGAGAAACGAUAGCCUGGCUCUGCAUGCAGAGUGAAGCUGAUGAAUAAAUGCCUGCAUGUGGGAACAGAUGAAUGUGUGGGUAGGGAUAGUAAGGAGAAAAAGGAAUCUGGGACUGUACGUUAGUCUCUUAUGUCAUCGCAUCUAGGCAGUGGACUUUAUGCUUAGGCAAUAGAGAGCCACAGAUGGCAUUAGAGCAGAGGAGUGAUACAAUCAGACAGUUUCUAGGUUUCAGACCAUCUUACUGUGGGGAGGGCUGGGAGAUGAGUGGGCUUCCCAUGUCCCAUCUACCUCUCCUAUUCCCUGGGAGUGGGACAGGGUGCUGGGGCCUCUGGCCCCACUGGGUGGCCUUUUUCUCCACUCUGCAGGUUGGAAUAGACUUUACAGCCUCCAACGGGAAUCCCCUCGACCCUUCCUCUUUGCACUAUAUCAACCCUAUGGGCACCAACGAAUAUCUGUCGGCCAUCUGGGCUGUUGGGCAGAUCAUUCAGGACUAUGACAGUGAUAAGAUGUUUCCAGCUCUAGGAUUCGGGGCCCAGUUACCCCCAGACUGGAAGGUCUCCCAUGAGUUUGCCAUAAACUUCAACCCCACCAACCCCUUCUGCUCAGCAGUACUUCAUUCUCCUCAUCAUCACGGAUGGGGUCAUCAGUGACAUGGAGGAGACGCGGCAUGCCGUGGUGCAGGCUUCCAAGCUGCCCAUGUCCAUCAUCAUCGUGGGCGUGGGCAAUGCGGACUUCGCUGCCAUGGAGUUCCUGGAUGGGGACAGCCGCAUGCUGCGCUCCCACACGGGGGAGGAGGCAGCCCGCGAUAUUGUGCAGUUUGUUCCCUUUCGAGAGUUCCGCAACGCAGCAAAAGAGACCUUGGCCAAAGCUGUGCUGGCGGAGCUGCCCCAACAAGUUGUGCAGUAUUUCAAGCAUAAAAACCUGCCCCCCACCAACUCGGAGCCCGCCUGAGCUCCAAUGCCCAGCAGCAGCAUGUCAGCUGAGCCUCCUGCCCUCCCCCAGGAGCAUGCACGCUCACCCUGCUUCCUUGUGGGUGGCCUUUUUUUACCGAUCCACAUUUUUAUUUUUUACAACCGGACCUCCACCCCCAACUUCCUCCAGCCCAGCUGGGCUUCCUUUGUUGGAGUCAACUGUUGAUGCUUCCAGGCCAAACUGGCUUCCUCUCCUCCUCUCCCCACCUUUGCCAUUCUUAAGUAUUGAAUGUACUUUGUAUAAUUUUAGUGGAAUUGUUAUUGAGAAUAAAAUUUUUACAAUCAU